AUUUCAUGAUGAGGGCACUACUUUUUAAGCUCCUUAAAUCUCAUUCAAGUUUCAUAUAAAGUUUCAUCAUCCUUUGGUCUAAAAGCUACCAUCAAAUUCCUCAAAUU